AAAAAAAACACAGGCAAAACAACAUGCAUCUAAUUAUGUGAUAUGAUCAGUCUGCAAGAAUCGUACAAUUAUUUACAACAUUGGUUGCCUAAUUUUGUUUAGUGCUGGUUUAAUUGCAUUUUAUGAAUCGCUAAGACCACGGUUUUAGAUAUAACAAAAACUUGAAAAAAAUGUUGUUUACAUCUUUGAAUAGCCCGAUGAUAACUAAAUUGAACACACAUUUAAGCGAUGUAUCUCUUUAAAGUGUUCAAUUACACAAAAAUUAUGUCGUUAAUUACUCACCCUCAUUUCGUUCCAGACGCCUCUGAGACCUUCAUUCACCUUCAGAAUACAAAUGAAGAUAUUUUAGGUUAAAUCUGAGAGCUCCCUCAUCCUCCAUAGAUCGCAAGACUCAUUCAAAGUACAGAAAAAUGUCAAAAAGGACAGGAACUGCUGCCUAUGGAGGAUAAUGAAGCUUUCAGAUUUCACGUAAAAAGAAAUCUUAAUUUGUGUUCCAAAGAUGAACGGGUUUGGAAAGACUUGAGGGUGAGUAAUUAACAUGAUUUUCUUUUUUUGGUGAACUAACCCUUUCAUUCCUAGCCUUUAAAUCAGCAGCUACAUAACUGUCAGACUACUGAAGAUUUGUAGGAUCGGAUUCUCAUCGAGUGUCGUUCAUAAACCGGCAAAGCCCAUAUACAGAAAACUGACUGUGUUUGUUAAUGUUCUGUUGAAAAAUAUAAUGGAGGCUUUGUAGAACUGUUUUUCAGUAAGUAAGUGAGAGACGGACAGGAUGGAAUGUAUUGUAAGUGCACAAGGAAUGAGGAACCGAUUUGUUUUGUGAAGCUUUUUAAAUUGUUCAGAUGCUCGUGGAUGUUAUAAAAGAGAGUCAACAUAAUCGCUGCCUAAACAGGGUUGUGAUCAUUCAGUUUCCAGUAUUUUAUGUCCUUUUUUUUUUUUGUUUUUUUUUAAGACAAGACUCACCUGGUCACAGUAAAAGCAACAGUACAGUAGUGGUGAAUAAAAAAAGGCUGUUGUGUCUGAGAAAACUCAAACAUUAUCCAUUUGAGCUGUACAAAUGGGAAAUGUAAAGAUGCCCCUCUGCUGAAGUGUUACCAAAAUGUAAUCUAAAAAGAAAGCAUUAUUUUUGUAUUUUAAAAAGGGGGUUGUAAAAAUGUAAAAUUGUGUACUGAUCAGUGUUGAGAAAGCUGUGGUUAUCUGGUAAGACACAGGUCCUAAACGGUUUCUCGAGUUCCCCUGGCUUCCAACUUUACAUGUUACUUUUUCAAAGAUUAGAGACCGUUUAAGGCGGAUUUUAAUUUGAUACAAGUGAUAGGGAAUAUUUUAAGCCAAACCAUUUCCACAGUGGAGCAUGUUUUGGGUGAAGUUGUACUGUAAAACCAGGGGGACCCCAGAAGUACUCGACUGACCACCAAUAAUUAAAGGUUAUUUAAGUGAAAAUAAUCUCUAGAGGACUAAACUUAUUGCUGGUGAUUUAGCGACUGUAAAUUGUAACUAAUUCAACUGUUGAUUCUAUUUAUGUUUUGUAACUAAUCAAAAAAUAAACAUCAGAUGUUAAAUAUAAA